GAUGAACGCUGGCGGCGUGCCUAAUACAUGCAAGUCGAGCGAACAGACGAGGAGCUUGCUCCUCUGACGUUAGCGGCGGACGGGUGAGUAACACGUGGAUAACCUACCUAUAAGACUGGGAUAACUUCGGGAAACCGGAGCUAAUACCGGAUAACAUGUUGAACCGCAUGGUUCAAUAGUGAAAGACGGUCUUGCUGUCACUUAUAGAUGGAUCCGCGCCGCAUUAGCUAGUUGGUAAGGUAACGGCUUACCAAGGCAACGAUGCGUAGCCGACCUGAGGGGGUGAUCGGCCACACUGGAACUGAGACACGGUCCAGACUCCUCCGGGAGGCAGCAGUAGGGAAUCUUCCGCAAUGGGCGAAAGCCUGACGGAGCAACGCCGCGUGAGUGAAGAAGGUCUUCGGAUCGUAAAACUCUGUUAUUAGGGAAGAACAAAUGUGUAAGUAACUAUGCACGUCUUGACGGUACCGAAUCAGAAAGCCACGGCUAACUACGU
rnacentral:rRNA from 1 species